AGGCGAGGUUGCGCGCGCUGCCGGUUGCUUCCCGGUCGCCCGUCUCCACGUUCUGUAAUAAAAGCGAAGAAAGCCAAAAGCGAAGGAUAGAACGCGGGAAUGACGGCAACGCUGUGUCUCCUCUGCAUCCCUCUCCGAUUCCCACCUAACCGUACUUCCUUCUCUUCUACUUCCAUUUCCCUUACCCCUAUUCGUGCUCAGAACCAGGAGAUUCGGGUUUGCACCAAUCGCACUUGCCGACGUCAAGGUUCCUUUCAGACACUCGAAACUCUCAGCGCCCUCGCACCUCCCACUAUUACCGUCAAUCCCUCUGGUUGCUUGGGGAAGUGCGGCGCUGGCCCUAACGUCGCUGUUUUGCCCGAUGGAUUCGUCGUCGGCCAUUGCGCCACGCCUGCUCGUGCUGCCGAGGUCAUCAUGCAAUUGUCUGGUGGAGUUUCUGAUUCUCUUGGCGUCUCUAAGAGUUUGGAGGCUCUUGCUCUGAGGAAGAGAGCCGAAUGUGAGGUGGAGGACGGGAAUUUCUCUCAGGCUGACCUACUUCUUUCGAAGGCGAUAGAAUUAAAACCAUGUGGAGGUAUCCAUAUAAUAUUCAAGGACAGGUCCAUCGUAAGAUUGGCUCUGGGGAAUCAUGCUGGUGCCCUUGAAGAUGCAAAUGAGGCUCUAAGAGUAGCUCCUCGAUAUCCCGAGGCUUACAUUUGUCAAGGUGACGUAUUCUUAUCUAUGGACCAUUUUGAUUCGGCUGAGAUGUCAUAUUCAACAGCUUUAGAAAUUGAACCUUCAAUUCGCCGUUCAAAGUCAUUCAAGGCGCGAGUUGCUAAACUUCAGGAGAAGCUCAAUGCUGUGAGAACACAAUAAAAUCUGAGAUGUGAAUCAAGGAAUAAGAAUAAUUGAUGACAACAGUUCGAGAUUCAGUCAUUCCUUCAGGAUGCCACCAUUGUUGUCAUAGACUCAGGUUCCUCUAAUUACAUUUCAACUAAAAACAGAUCAAAGUUGGUGUUAGAAGCCCAUAGAUCUGAGCCUGAAGGCCUUCAAUUUUCUGGUUAAGCAGGUAAACCCUUUGAUCAUCCCGCAGCUUCAGCAUACAUCGUGCCAUCUCACUUGCCUUCCGUUUCGUGAAAACGGACUCUGCUACCAACCCCUUGUUUUCCUCCAUCAAGGAAGCCACCCUAUACCCUAAUCUUGCAUUUUCAUUCAGUAAUAUGAGCCUCUCAGACUCCAAGACCUCAAGCAAACUCUUCUGAAGCUCUGUCUUCCUAGACGAAUCACAGCAUUGCUUCUCCAGGAUGCUUACCUCAUUUGUAAUAAUGUCGUACUCCACAUUCUUGAUGACAAGCUCAGCGAGUAAAGCAUCGUUGUUUACCAUA